rnacentral:sRNA from 1 species
GAAGCUUCGACUAAGGUUCGACUUGAGCGCCAGCGAGAGAGCGUUGCCGCAGGCAACGACCCGAAGGGCGAAGCGCGCAGCGCUGAGUAAUCCUUCCCCCACCACCA